ACACACUGGGGAUUUGACCUCUAUCUCCACUCUCAUUAAUAUGGGUGGCCUAUUUGCUCUUAUUAAAAGGAAAGGGGGAGAUGUUGGGAGCCACGCCCACAUUCGCCGUUACAAGAUGGCGCUGACAGCUGUGUUCUAAGUGGUAAACAAAUAAUCUGCGCAUGUGCCGAGGGUGGUUCUUCACUCCAUGUGCUCUGCCUUCCCCGUGACGUCAACUCGGCCGAUGGGCUGCAGCCAAUCAGGGAGUGACACGUCCGAGGCGAAGGAUAAUUCUCCUAAAAAAGGGACGGGGUUUCGUUUUCUCUCUCUCUUGCUUCUUACGCUCUUGCUUCUUGCACUCUGGCUCCUGAAGAUGUAAGCAAUAAAGCUUUGCCGCAGAAGAUUCUGGUCUGUGGUGUUCUUCCUGGCCGGUCGUGAGAACGCGUCUAAUAACAGCCCAACAACUCCAUUGUUCUUGACUUCUUCGGGCUCUAGCCAGACUCUCCAAAGACAGGGUUGCAUUCCCUUUCCAGUAUGGUCCAUGGAAAACAUGCAGAGGAAAUGGCCCCACAGCAUUGGCUGAGUGUUUAUGUCGUCCAACCGAGUCUCCAUCGAACUGUUGUGGUGUUGCUGACUUGCCCUAGGUCACCUGAGUUAAAAGGGUUGCAUUCCCUUUCCAGUAUGGUCCAUGGAAAACAUGCAGAGGAAAUGGCCCCACAGCAUUGGCUGAGUGUUUAUAUCUUCCAACCGAGUCUCCAUCGAACUGUUGUGGUGUUGCUGACUUGGCCUAGGUCACCUGAGUUAAAAGGGUUGCAUUCCCUUUCCAGUAUGGUCCAUGGAAAACAUGCAGAGGAAAUGGCCCCACAGCAUUGGCUGAGUGUUUAUGUCAUCCAACCGAGUCUCCAUCGAACUGUUGUGGUGUUGCUGACUUGCCCUAGGUCACUUGAGUUAAAUGAGAUGCAUUCCUUUUCCUUCAUGGGCCAUGAGUGACAUCCAGAGAAAGUGUCACCACAACACUGGACAAAAGUUGAUGAUAUCUGAAUGAGCUACCAGUAAACCCCCCCCUUUUUUUGCUGUUAUUGCCUUGCCUGAGGAAAAGCGAGUUAAAAGAUGAUACCUACAGUGAUGAGUUGGAGUUAUAGAUGGUGCCAUUUCUUCUACCAGCAGCUUCACCAAAACAAUCUCCAUUAUACAUGCUGAUGCCUCUUUCCUGUGUAGCAGCAGACACCACCUGCAGAUAAGAAAUGCUUAAGUGAGAAAUGCUCAUUUUGGGAUAUCAUCGCUGAAACUAUAAUUUGGGCAUGGUGACUGUUUCCCUUGCUGCCACUUGACUCAAUCUCAGAAGUUUAAUAGAUCAAAUAAUAUUGUACAAUAUGCUCAAA
rnacentral:lncRNA from 1 species